UACGGGAGGCAGCAGUAGGGAAUCUUCGGCAAUGGACGGAAGUCUGACCGAGCAACGCCGCGUGAGUGAAGAAGGUUUUCGGAUCGUAAAGCUCUGUUGUAAGAGAAGAACGAGUGUGAGAGUGGAAAGUUCACACUGUGACGGUAUCUUACCAGAAAGGGACGGCUAACUACGUGCCAGCAGCCGCGGUAAUACGUAGGGUGCGAGCGUUGUCCGGAAUUACUGGGCGUAAAGAGCUCGUAGGUGGUUUGUCGCGUCUGCUGUGGAAACGUGCCGCUUAACGGUGCGCGUGCAGUGGGUACGGGCGGACUAGAGUGCAGUAGGGGAGUCUGGAAUUCCUGGUGUAGCGGUGAAAUGCGCAGAUAUCAGGAGGAA
rnacentral:rRNA from 1 species